rnacentral:misc_RNA from 1 species
GAUGAAGAACGCAGCGAAAUGCGAUACUUGGUGUGAAUUGCAGAAUCCCGUGAACCAUCGAGUCUUUGAACGCAAGUUGCGCCCGAAGCCACUAGGCCGAGGGCACGCCUGCCUGGGCGUCACACGUCGUUGCCCCCCACCAUCUACUCCUUCGGGAUUGCGGGGGGCGGAUGAUGGCCUCCCGUGCGCCUAGCCGCGCGGUUGGCAUAAAUACCAAGUCCUCGGCGACGCACGCCACGACAAUCGGUGGUUGCGAAACCUCGGUUGCCCGUCGUGUGCGUUCGUCGCGCAUCGAGGGCUCGAAAAAAUGCUCGGCUCCGGCUCGGCUUUCAACGCGACCCCAGGUCAGGCGGGGUUACCCGCUGAAUUUAAGCAUAACAAUAAGCGGAGGA